rnacentral:rRNA from 1 species
AUUCCAGCUCCAAUAGCGUGUAUUAAUGUUGUUGCAGUUAAAAAGCUCGUAGUUGGAUUUCUGGUCGGAGCACUGUGCCGGCUCCGCAAGGGGUCGCGCUUGGUUCCUUCGUCCAUCCUCAGGGGAACCGGCGCUGGUAUUCAUUUAUCGGCGUCGGGACGCCUGUCGUUUACUGUGAACAAAUUAGAGUGUUCAAAGCAAGCAUUUUGCUGUGAAUACAUUAGCAUGGAAUAAUAACAUAGGACUUUGAUUCUAUUUUGUUGGUUGGAGAUCAAGGUAAUGAUUAAUAGGGAUAGUUGGGGGUAUUCAUAUUUAAUUGUCAGAGGUGAAAUUCUUGGAUUUUGGAAAGAUGAACUACUGCGAAGGCAUUUACCAAGGAUGUUUUCAUCA